GACGAACGCUGGCGGCGUGCCUAACACAUGCAAGUCGAACGGAGAUAUUAAUGAAGCUUGCGAUUUAAUAUCUUAGUGGCGGACGGGUGAGUAACGCGUGGGUAAUCUGCCCAUAAGUGGGGAACAACAGUUGGAAACGACUGCUAAUACCGCAUACGCUGUCGCAAGACAGGAAAGGUGGCCUCUGAAUAUGCUGCCGCUUAUGGAUGAGCCCGCGUCUGAUUAGCUAGUUGGUGGGGUAAAGGCCUACCAAGGCCACGAUCAGUAGCCGGCCUGAGAGGGUGAACGGCCACACUGGGACUGAGACACGGCCCAGACUCCUACGGGAGGCAGCAGUGGGGAAUAUUGCGCAAUGGGGGAAACCCUGACGCAGCGACGCCGCGUGAGCGAAGAAGGCCUUAGGGUUGUGAAGCUCUGUUUUAAGGGACGAAUGUUACAGGGAGUAAUAUGUCCUGUAAAUGACGGUACCUUAAGAGGAAGCCCCGGCUAACUACGUGCCAGCCGCCGCGGUAACAC
rnacentral:rRNA from 1 species